UCACAAGUCUUUCCCUUCAGUGACCAACACGGACACAGAAUAUUCACCAUGGACUUGAGACUGAGCUGUGCUUUUAUUAUUGUUCUUUUAAAAGGCGUCCAGAGUGAAGUGAAGCUUGAGGAGUCAGGAGGAGGCUUGGUGCAACCUGGAGGAUCCAUGAAACUCUCCUGUGUUGCCUCUGGAUUCACUUUCAGUGACUACUGGAUGCACUGGGUUCGCCAGUCUCCAGAGAAGGGGCUUGAGUGGGUUGCUGAAAUUAGAAACAAAGCUAAUAAUUAUGCAACACAUUAUGCGGAGUCUGUGAAAGGGAGGUUCACCAUCUCAAGAGAUGAUUCCAAAAGUAGUGUCUACCUGCAAAUGAACAGCUUAAGAGCUGAAGACACUGGAAUUUAUUACUGCACAGACACAGUGAGAAGUCUUCUUUGUGUCCACUCCCAGGUCCAGCUGCAGCAAUCUGGGGCUGAGUUGCUGAGGACUGGGGCCUCAGUGAAGGUGUCAUGCAGGGCUUCUGGCUAUACCUUUACUAGCUACUAUGUGGACUGGGUGAAGCAGAGAACUGGAUAUAGCCUGGAGUGGAUUGGAAGAAUUAUUCCUGGAAUUGGUGCUACUGACUACGCUCAGAAGUUCAAGGGCAAGGCCACACUGACUGCAGACACAUCCUCCACAGUCUACAUGGAGCUCAGCAGCCUGACAUCUGAGGAUUCUGCUGUCUAUUACUGUGCAAGACACAGUGUUGUGACCACAUCCUGA